rfam:Gossypium arboreum cultivar AKA8401 contig_16801_3, whole genome shotgun sequence.
UAUUAAAAAUUUCAUCUAUUUUUACUGUUAAAAACUUAUGUGGUUAAUGGAAUAACUAGAAAGUGACAUUUGUUGUGUCAAGUGUAUCCCAUGUUGAAGUACAGAAAUCAAUUUUAAUUUUAAUAGCAAAAAUGGAUAAAAUUUUUUAACG